AAGAUUUUCUUUGUUGUUCAUUUAUGACUAAAGAUGCUGAAGGAUCUUAUUGAUCGUGUCUUGCAGGUGGUGAGAUGUUUGCAGCUGCAGGAUCAUCCGGAUCAGUGAUGGAGGUUGACAGGUAGGUUUCUGUUUCUCUUCCCUCCUUGUUCUGGUCGCUGUGAUGACGACUACUUUAUCCAUUCGCAGUUUCCACCAGAGGUCACACGACCAAAGAUGGUUCAAAUCUUCCUUGGAUGUCUGAGCGAACCAAACAUGCUUUGAUAAUGUACUUUUUUUAACCUCCAUUUUUUGUUUCAAAUGAAUGUCUUCUAAUUUCAGAUGAAGGGGUUCCUAUUGAAGAGCUUCCAGAACAUGAGAACAUGCAGGUGGUGAGAUGUUUGCAGCUGCAGGAUCAUCCGGAUCAGUGAUGGAGGUUAGUCGGUAGGUUUCUGUUUCUCUUCCCUCCUUGUUCUGGUCGCUGUGAUGACGACUACUUUAUCCAUUCGCAGUUUCCACCAGAGGUCACACGACCAAAGAUGGUUCAAAUCUUCCUUGGAUGUCUGAGCGACUUUAAUUCUGGCUGUAAAUCCUUCAUCAGCAAUUUGUGCUUACCUUUUUUUUUUUUUUGUCAACAGGUGACUGGACUUCAUUGGGCUCCUGUUAUUCCUUUGGGAUUGAACUACAGUCUGUUAAUCAAUAAAAAGGCUUAAAACUGGAAGUUUAUGCACAAUUUGUUUUUUUCUCCCACACUGUUUACAUUUGGUCACUGAACUUUAUGGAAUAGAAAUGUUACUUUACCAUCUGAAAAGCUUUGCUUAACAAUUUUUUUUUUUUAAUAUACACUGUAUACAAAAUGGCAAAAGUUGACUUAAGUUUAAUAAUAAAACCAGUCUGAAGAAACUUGAA